UGGGGAAUAUUGCACAAUUGGGGAAACCCUGAUGCAGCGACGCCGCGUGAGCGAAGAAGGUUUUCGAAUCGUAAAGCCCUGUCCUAUGGGAAGAUAAUGACGGUACCAUAGGAGGAAGCCCCGGCUAACUACGUGCCAGCAGCCGCGGUAAUACGUAGGGGGCAAGCGUUGUCCGGAAUCACUGGGCGUAAAGGGUUCGCAGGCGGAAAUGCAAGUCAGUUGUGAAAGGCAGAGGCUCAACCUCUGUAAGCAAUUGAAACUGUAUUUCUUGAGAUGUGGAGAGGCAAGUGGAAUUCCUAGGGUAGCGGUGAAAUGCGUAGAUAUUAGGAAGAAUACCGGUGGCGAAGGCGACUUGCUGGACACAAACUGACGCUGAGGAACGAAAGCGUGGGUAGCAAACAGG
rnacentral:rRNA from 1 species